CUACUGGCUGGUUUUGGCCAGUGUUGCAAUGGAAAGAGAGCUAGAAUGCAUGAGGGCACUAUGCCUGUAUCUGUGUUCACUCAAUGGCUUUUCAUGGAACAGAGGCAAUGAGCGGAAUGCAGGCAGGACACAAUCACAGUGUGCAAAGGAAUGUCCAACAUCUGCUAGUCUUCAUUCCCCAUCAUGUAAAUUCUCGCAGGCGAAAAGGGCAGUGAUCACAGGAGACUCUGCAAGUGGUGUCGUCCCAAAGCAAGAAUGCAACCCCCUGAGAGAACCUCUUCCAAGAAUCCCCAGUUGAGGACUCUUCUGGAAUGAGUCUUGAUGCUGGAGCUGGCGGUUCCUGAUUCACGGUUCGCGGCUCAACUAGUCUGGAGCACCUGGAUGGACUGAUCAAUGGUUCUUGGCUCAACUAGUCUGGAGCACCUGGAUGGACUGAUCAAUGGUUCACGGCUCAACUAGUCUGGGACAGUUGGAUGGACUAUCCUUCUAUCCUAUUGUGUUUGUCCUUCUGUUCACUAAACCCAACCAGUCAAAGCAGAUGGCUGCCACCUCUGAACCCGGUUCCACUACAGAUUUCUUCCUAUAAAAAAGAGGGAAUUUUUUCUUCCCACUAUCGCUAAUUGCUUGUUCAUGUGGAUCUUGUUGGGUUCUUUCUUUCUUACUAUGCACUUUAUAUUUUGUUCAGCACUUUGAGAUGACUUUGUUGUAUUUUGCACUAUAUAAAUUGAAUAUCUGGGCCAUACCAACUGAGGGGGAUAUUCUUCUUUGUUUGACAUUUUCAUUUGUGACUUGCAAUGAUUAUUUAGCAAGCAGAUUGAUUUAAUUUGUU
rnacentral:lncRNA from 1 species